UAUAUACUCCCUCCGUCCGAAAAUACUUGUCAUCAAAAUGGAUAAAAGGGAUGUAUCUAGAUGUAUUUUAGUUUUAGAUACAUCCAGUUUUGUCCAUUUUGAUGACAAGUGUUUUCGGACGGAGGGAGUAUAAU
rnacentral:pre_miRNA from 1 species